CGCCCGGCCUCGGGGAGCCCCAGUUCAUCUCUGUUGGCUACGUGGACGACGCACAGUUCGUGUGCUUCUACAGCGACGCGGAGAUUCCGAGGACGGAGCCACGGGCGUCGUGGGUGGAGCAGGAAUAUUGGGAGAGAGAGACACAGAUCGCCAGGAACAAAGACUUUCCGAGUUGACCUGAGGACCCUGCUCGACGAAUGCUACAACCAGAGCAAGGGCGGUGAGUGACCGCGGUCGGAGGAUCCAUCAUGGAUCAGCCGAAAACGUCCCGAGCCCCACGUCCCAGACUCUCCCUGAAGAUUUCGGAACCGCAGAGACGCUGUAAAGAUGAUGGCCCGGACCCACUUUCACUUUCAGUUUAGAGAAGUCCGCUUGCGGGUGGGCGGGGCCGCGGGGCGGGUAAGACGGGGACCCGGCUGUGGGUGGGGUCCCCGCAGUCUCUCCAGGUGAUGUCUGGCUGUGAAAUGGGGUCAAAGGGGCGCCUCCACCGCGGGUACAGUCAGUUCACCUACGACGGCCACGAUUACAUCGCCCUGAACGACGACCUGACGACGUGGACCUCGGCGGACAAGGCGGUGCAGAUCACCCGGAGCAAGUGGGAGCAGGCGGUGCCGCGGGGAGUCACGAGGCCGAACUGGAGGGCACCUGCUGCGCAGACACCUGGAGAACGGAUCCUCCAGAGACACAUGUGACCCAUCAUCCUGGAUAUAAAGGUGUUGUCACUGUGAAGUGCUGGUCCCUGGGCUUCUAUCCUGCCUUCAUCACCCUGACCUAAAGAGGGAGGAGUAGGAGCAGACACAGGAUAUGGAACUGGUGGAGACCAGACCUUCAGGGACUGAGCCCCACCCCGAGAGCAGAGUGAAGAGCUGCCCUUGGUCCCUCGCACCUGCCCGCACAGUCGCAUCCCUGUUCUCCAGCCUUGUCCGCAGAUAUCCACGUUUUAGGAGCUCCUCGUUCAAGGAGAGGUAAUCCUGGCCGCCACACCCGAAUCGGUCAUAUCCACAGAGGAGGAUAGAAUCCACAUCACCGCCAGACAUCACCUGGAUGGUCCACCACAGCUCCAAUGACCACAGCUCCAAGGAGAACCGGACCAGCAAUGACUGCCAUGAUGAGGACCGUGGACUGAGGAGGCUCUAGGAAGGGAAGGACAGGAAGGGAAGGAGAGAACAGUCCCAGCAAGGGUGCAGAAGGAGGAUUAUUCUACCCACCACUUACCUGAGGGUUAAAGAGUUUUCUUCCAGUAAUCUAUGGAGUGUUUCCACGCAUGUGCCCUUCAGCGUCUGGUCCUCCCAGUAUUCCGACCCCAUCUGUUCUGCCCACGGUAAGCUAGGCUUGGCCCUCGGAGUCUCCGCGUCGCUGUCGAAGCUCAUGAACUGCAUGUCGUCCACGUAUCCCACGACAAUGAACCGGGGCUCCCCGAGGCCGGGCCGGGAAAUGGCGGUGUAGAAAUACCGCAGCGAGUGUGAGCCUGGGGGCGGCGGGCGGUGAGACCCCGACCCUCAUUUCGGGACCCUGACAGGUGCGUGGGCCGGGAUGGAAACAGGGAGCAGGGUGGAGGGUCCGGCUGGGCAAAGCGGCUUCCGGGGUGCGAACCCCGCCACCCUCGGCACUGAGACUACAACCCUCCGGACCAGACCGGACCAAGUACUCACCUGUCUGUAUCUGGGCGGAGCCCUGGGCAGCAGUAAGCAAUAGUAGCACAGGGAUGCCCAUCUUUAGGGUUUGGGGGAGCCAAAGAAUAGUCGUUAGUUUGUAACUGUCUUCACAGAGCCUUUCAGGCUGUUCUCUUGGAGUCAAUGGGAGCAGGAAUCACCUGACACAACAACACAGCAAGAAGUGAAACCAAAACCUCCCAACCCAACCUCCACCUUCCUUCAGUUUUCAUACCCGAAAGCCAUUUCUGAGGACACGGAAUUUUGUCCUGACUCUUUCCACUGAAGGGAGCCCUGUCUAUAACAUUGUCUCCCUGAACCCUGGCCCAGAAUCCCUCUAAUGGUAACCCAAGGGGAAGCUAUCUGGACAAGUGCUCCACAAACUUACGUGAAACAUGAGCAUAGUCCCCUCCUUUUCCACCUGUGAGAAGAAAAGCUGUGAGAAACCAGAAAGACUCCAACCCAAGAAUGUUUCCAGAACCGACAGCAGACCCAGCCACCACAGUGUCAAUGAUCACAGCUCCAAGGAGAACCAGAACAGCAAUGACUGCCAUGAUGGGGACCGUGGACUGAGGAGGCUCUGGGAAGGGAAGGUGAGGGUCAUGACCCCAGCUCUCAUCCCUGACCCUGCUCAGGGUCUGC